rnacentral:tRNA from 1 species
GCCUGAAUGGCUCAGUUAGUUGAGCAUCCGACUUCAGCUCAGGUCAUGAUCUUACGGUUUGUGAGUUCGAGCCCUACCUCAGGCU